UCAUAGGGCUAAAGGAUCCUUAAUAAAUCCUUUAAUUCAGCUCAUCUUUGUACAAUCCCUAUGUAACAAAUAUUUACAAAGUACCUACUGAGUGCCACAUAUAGUGCUAAACGACAGAUCCCUACCCACAUUACAGUUACAAAUUAGUGGACUAACUAAGCCAUCAGGCCUCUUGAAAUCCUUUCUGAAUAGGACAAGGAAUAGCAAAUUAAUGGUGAAAAAUACCCAUGCAGUGUUCUGCUGGCAUAUAUAUGUGAUCACAUUUAAUCCUUUAACAGUCCUGGGGGAGGCAGUAGUUAUAUUGCCCGUUCACCUGUAGCUACAAGUAUGUAAUUUUAAAUGAAGCAUAAUGCAGUUCAGUGACUUGCUCAAGAUCCUCUACCUAGCAGGUAGAAUAGUUGAUAUUUGAACUUGGACAGCCUGGCCCAAAGGCUCUCUCUAGUCUAUACUCUUCAGUCACCACACUAUAAAUUCCAAGCCACCCUGACUGUAGUCUGCUCAUUUGGAGUACCAAAGACAAGUGGACUAGCCUGGCAGGUAAGGGCAACAGGACAUUCUUGGCCAACAGAGCAGAAAACGAUAUUCAGCACUGAGUGCUGGAACGACAGAGACGAAAGGAAUAACACUGCAGGCAAACAAAGGUCAAGACUUGGCCUGUCUCAGCAGCUCACAGAUGGUGACAAUGAAUCCACAGCAGGGUGGCAGGCAGAGCUGGGAUCUCCAGGAGAGCUGGCCCUUGCUCUCUGACAACAGCAGGCACACAGCAUGGUGCUGGCUGGACAGAGGCAGGGAGCAAAACCCCCCAUGCUCUUAUUCCCUGCUGCACAGAGGAUGCUCAGCCUGCACCUCCACUCCUGAUACAGAGGCCUGGGAGGGCUCUUUCUCUUGUACCUUUGGGGUCUCUCCCCUGCCAGCUACCUUCACCAGUUGGCAGAACUCCAUCCCCCAACCAACCCCUGGAGAACUCACACACCUGAGUAUUAUCAUGCUGUGCUCCUAUGCCUCUUGAGUACUCAGCUCUCAAACCCAGCCUUCAAGCAGGACACUUUAGAAACAACUGAUAAGUCAGGGCUCCCUGUGGCAGUCCAGAGCUUCUCACACUCCCCUCACCUCUGAAACGCAGAGGACUUUGGACUUUGAUAUGCCCAUCAGGCCAAAAGCACUUCUCUUCUUCCCAAUGAAUUCAAAUCUGGGAUCAAAUACAGUCAUGAGGCACAUGAUGAC
rnacentral:lncRNA from 1 species